AGUUUCAAUAAUUCUACUCAGUUUUUCAUGAUUUAUUUAUAGAGGCCCAAUUUAUCGCCACACACAGAGGCAAUCUUCUCCUACUCAACGGUUACACGUACAGCGUGAAGGGUCGCGGGAACUAUUUCUGCUCGAAGAAGCAGACGUUGAAAUGUACAUCUAAAGUGAAAUUGGAUGAAAACAAUCGCAUCAUUUAUUUGCAAGAAACGCAUCAGCAUAAACCGCCUAACAUACACCAGACCAAAGACGGGAAUUAUAUAUUUCUUUAGUUAUAAAUCCUGAGUGAAACGAGCGAUGAAGAGGGACUUUUACCCACAGAUGACUUAAAAGGAACAGCGAAGGACCCCGAACUAACUUUCCUCCCGGAGAAAUCUAAAGAAAAAUAUUUAAAAGCGUACGAGAAUUUCAAUAAAUGGCGACUUGAAAAUAGUGAAAACACUUUAUCGGAAACUGUACUAUUAUCGUAUUUUAUGCAGUUGUCUCACACGAAGCAACCACCCACAAUGUGGAGUAUUUACUCGAUGCUGAAAGCCACGAUAAAAACCAAGGAAGACGUGCAUAUUGAGGAUUAUAAAGAGCUCGUAACAUUUUUGAAAGGAAUGGCAGUAGGACACAACCCGAAAAAGUCCAAGAUAUUUACAUCAGCUGACAUAGAUAGAUUUAUAAAUGAAGCUCCGGACAAAAUAUAUCUUGGUGCAAAAGUCAUACUCAUAUUGGGAAUAAACGGAGGAUGCCGUACGAAUGAACUUCUGAACCUUACCGUCGAUGGGAUCGAAAAACAUUCAGAAACCCUGUUAUUAAUAAAAUUGCCAAAGACAAGUAAUAACAGAUCUUUUGUCGUUCGUGAGGAAUAUGUACAGAUCGUUGAGCAGUAUAAAUCUUUACGGCCACCCAAUACAAAGACCGACCGAUUCUUCUUGCAGUAUCACAAGGGCAAGUGUUCAAGACAGCCAAUGGGUAUUAAUAAGAUAGGCGGGAUACCGCGAGACAUCGCAAAGUAUUUGAAACUUCCAGACCCUCAGCUUUACAAUGGCCAUUGUUUUAGGCGAACGUCGGCCACGCUUUUAGCAGAUUCGGGGGCGGAUCUCUGCUUAUUAAAACACCAUGAUGAUACCCGUCCGGGUACAUCUAGAGAAACAACCGAAAGUCGGCCUAUGUCGAAAAUCUGGGUCUGUAUUGACCCCCCAAAAACUUAAAUUUCGGUUAUGUUCGCGAAUAAAGGUAACAGUCAGGUUACUAGUGUCGCAGCAUUAUUGUAGCAACAUUACUGCUGCAGCGGUAACGCUGUUAUUGAAAAUUUCCUUGGUUAAACUAGUGACGGAUUGAACGUUCUUAUUCGUUCCAUCCUCAUCCGAAUGCCACCUUAACAUUCUUCC